UGAUGUCUGAUUGUUGGAGUGUGCCUCUGGCUAUAGGUAAAUGAUGUCUGAUUGUUGGAGUGUGCCUCUGGCUAUAGGUAAAUGAUGUCUGAUUGUUGGAGUGUGCCUCUGGCUAUAGGUAAAUGAUGUCUGAUUGUUGGAGUAUGCCUCUGGCUAUAGGUAAAUGAUGUCUGAUUGUUGGAGUGUGCCUCUGGUUAUAGGUAAAUGAUGUCUGAUUGUUGGAGUGUGCCUCUGGCUAUAGGUAAAUGAUGUCUGAUUGUUGGAGUGUGCCUCUGGCUAUAGGUAAAUGAUGUCUGAUUGUUGGAGUGUGCCUCUGGCUAUAGGUAAAUGAUGUCUGAUUGUUGGAGUGUGCCUCUGGUUAUAGGUAAAUGAUGUCUGAUUGUUGGAGUGUGCCUCUGGCUAUAGGUAAAUGAUGUCUGAUUGUUGGAGUGUGCCUCUGGCUAUAGGUAAAUGAUGUCUGAUUGUUGGAGUGUGCCUCUGGCUAUAGGUAAAUGAUGUCUGAUUGUUGGAGUGUGCCUCUGGUUAUAGGUAAAUGAUGUCUGAUUGUUGGAGUGUGCCUCUGGCUAUAGGUAAAUGAUGUCUGAUUGUUGGAGUGUGCCUCUGGUUAUAGGUAAAUGAUGUCUGAUUGUUGGAGUGUGCCUCUGGUUAUAGGUAAAUGAUGUCUGAUUGUUGGAGUGUGCCUCUGGCUAUAGGUAAAUGAUGUCUGAUUGUUGGAGUGUGCCUCUGGUUAUAGGUAAAUGAUGUCUGAUUGUUGGAGUGUGCCUCUGGCUAUAGGUAAAUGAUGUCUGAUUGUUGGAGUGUGCCUCUGGCUAUAGGUAAAUGAUGUCUGAUUGUUGGAGUGUGCCUCUGGCUAUAGGUAAAUGAUGUCUGAUUGUUGGAGUGUGCCUCUGGUUAUAGGUAAAUGAUGUCUGAUUGUUGGAGUGUGCCUCUGGCUAUAGGUAAAUGAUGUCUGAUUGUUGGAGUGUGCCUCUGGUUAUAGGUAAAUGAUGUCUGAUUGUUGGAGUGUGCCUCUGGCUAUAGGUAAAUGAUGUCUGAUUGUUGGAGUGUGCCUCUGGCUAUAGGUAAAUGAUGUCUGAUUGUUGGAGUGUGCCUCUGGUUAUAGGUAAAUGAUGUCUGAUUGUUGGAGUGUGCCUCUGGCUAUAGGUAAAUGAUGUCUGAUUGUUGGAGUGUGCCUCUGGCUAUAGGUAAAUGAUGUCUGAUUGUUGGAGUGUGCCUCUGGUUAUAGGUAAAUGAUGUCUGAUUGUUGGAGUGUGCCUCUGGCUAUAGGUAAAUGAUGUCUGAUUGUUGGAGUGUGCCUCUGGCUAUAGGUAAAUGAUGUCUGAUUGUUGGAGUGUGCCUCUGGCUAUAGGUAAAUGAUGUCUGAUUGUUGGAGUGUGCCUCUGGCUAUAGGUAAAUGAUGUCUGAUUGUUGGAGUGUGCCUCUGGCUAUAGGUAAAUGAUGUCUGAUUGUUGGAGUGUGCCUCUGGCUAUAGGUAAAUGAUGUCUGAUUGUUGGAGUGUGCCCCUGGCUAUAGGUAAAUGAUGUCUGAUUGUUGGAGUGUGCCCCUGGCUAUAGGUAAAUGAUGUCUGAUUGUUGGAGUGUGCCUCUGGCUAUAGGUAAAUGAUGUCUGAUUGUUGGAGUGUGCCUCUGGCUAUAGGUAAAUGAUGUCUGAUUGUUGGAGUGUGCCCCUGGCUAUAGGUAAAUGAUGUCUGAUUGUUGGAGUAUGCCUCUGGCUAUAGGUAAAUGAUGUCUGAUUGUUGGAGUGUGCCUCUGACUAUCUGUAAAUGAUGUCUGAUUGUUGGAGUGUGCCUCUGGCUAUAGGUAAAUGAUGUCUGAUUGUUGGAGUGUGCCUCUGGCUAUAGGUAAAUGAUGUCUGAUUGUUGGAGUAUGCCUCUGGCUAUAGGUAAAUGAUGUCUGAUUGUUGGAGUGUGCCUCUGGCUAUAGGUAAAUGAUGUCUGAUUGUUGGAGUGUGCCUCUGGCUAUAGGUAAAUGAUGUCUGAUUGUUGGAGUAUGCCUCUGGCUAUCUGUAAAUGAUGUCUGAUUGUUGGAGUGUGCCUCUGGCUAUAGGUAAAUGAUGUCUGAUUGUUGGAGUGUGCCUCUGGCUAUAGGUAAAUGAUGUCUGAUUGUUGGAGUGUGCCCUUGGCUAUCUGUAAAUGAUGUCUGAUUGUUGGAGUGUGCCUCUGGUUAUCUGUAAAUGAUGUCUGAUUGUUGGAGUGUGCCUCUGGCUAUAGGUAAAUGAUGUCUGAUUGUUGGAGUGUGCCCCUGGCUAUAGGUAAAUGAUGUCUGAUUGUUGGAGUGUGCCUCUGGCUAUAGGUAAAUGAUGUCUGAUUGUUGGAGUGUGCCUCUGGCUAUAGGUAAAUGAUGUCUGAUUGUUGGAGUGUGCCUCUGGCUAUAGGUAAAUGAUGUCUGAUUGUUGGAGUGUGCCUCUGGCUAUAGGUAAAUGAUGUCUGAUUGUUGGAGUGUGCCUCUGGCUAUAGGUAAAUGAUGUCUGAUUGUUGGAGUGUGCCCCUGGCUAUAGGUAAAUUAUGUCUGAUUGUUGGAGUGUGCCUCUGGCUAUAGGUAAAUGAUGUCUGAUUGUUGGAGUGUGCCUCUGGUUAUAGGUAAAUGAUGUCUGGUUGUUGGAGUGUGCCUCUGGUUAUCUGUAAAUGAUGUCUGAUUGUUGGAGUGUGCCUCUGGCUAUCUGUAAAUGAUGUCUGAUUUUUGGAGUGUGCCUCUGGUUAUCUGUAAAUGAUGUCUGAUUGUUGGAGUGUGCCCCUGGCUAUAGGUAAAUGAUGUCUGAUUGUUGGAGUGUGCCCCUGGCUAUAGGUAAAUGAUGUCUGAUUGUUGGAGUGUGCCUCUGGCUAUAGGUAAAUGAUGUCUGAUUGUUGGAGUGUGCCCCUGGCUAUAGGUAAAUGAUGUCUGAUUGUUGGAGUGUGCCUCUGGUUAUAGGUAAAUGAUGUCUGGUUGUUGGAGUGUGCCUCUGGUUAUCUGUAAAUGAUGUCUGAUUGUUGGAGUGUGCCUCUGGCUAUCUGUAAAUGAUGUCUGAUUGUUGGAGUGUGCCUCUGGUUAUCUGUAAAUGAUGUCUGAUUGUUGGAGUGUGCCUCUGGCUAUCUGUAAAUGAUGUCUGAUUGUUGGAGUGUGCCUCUGGGUAUCUGUAAAUGAUGUCUGAUUGUUGGAGUGUGCCCCUGGCUAUAGGUAAAUGAUGUCUGAUUGUUGGAGUGUGCCUCUGGCUAUAGGUAAAUGAUGUCUGAUUGUUGGAGUGUGGCCCUGGCUAUAGGUAAAUGAUGUCUGAUUGUUGGAGUGUGCCUCUGGUUAUAGGUAAAUGAUGUCUGAUUGUUGGAGUGUGCCCCUGGCUAUCUGUAAAUGAUGUCUGAUUGUUGGAGUGUGCCCCUGGCUAUCUGUAAAUGAUGUCUGAUUGUUGGAGUGUGCCUCUGGUUAUCUGUAAAUGAUGUCUGAUUGUUGGAGUGUGCCUCUGGUUAUAGGUAAAUGAUGUCUGAUUGUUGGAGUGUGCCUCUGGCUAUAGGUAAAUGAUGUCUGAUUGUUGGAGUGUGCCUCUGGCUAUCUGUAAAUGAUGUCUGAUUGUUGGAGUGUGCCUCUGGCUAUAGGUAAAUGAUGUCUGAUUGUUGGAGUGUGCCUCUGGCUAUAGGUAAAUGAUGUCUGAUUGUUGGAGUGUGCCUCUGGCUAUAGGUAAAUGAUGUCUGAUUGUUGGAGUGUGCCUCUGGCUAUAGAUAAAUUAUGUCUGAUUGUUGGAGUGUGCCUCUGGCUAUAGGUAAAUGAUGUCUGAUUGUUGGAGUGUGCCUCUGGCUAUAGGUAAAUGAUGUCUGAUUGUUGGAGUGUGCCUCUGGCUAUAGGUAAAUGAUGUCUAAUUGUUGGAGUGUGCCUCUGGCUAUAGGUAAAUGAUGUCUGAUUGUUGGAGUGUGCCUCUGGUUAUCUGUAAAUGAUGUCUGAUUGUUGGAGUGUGCCUCUGGUUAUCUGUAAAUGAUGUCUGAUUGUUGGAGUGUGCCUCUGGCUAUAGGUAAAUGAUGUCUGAUUGUUGGAGUGUGCCUCUGGCUAUCUGUAAAUAUUAUUUAAAAACAGAUUGGGGUUGACAGGUGGUUCAGGCCUCAAUAUAACUCACUGCGGACCUGGACAUGACCCCUGGACAUGACCCCUGGACAUGACCCACUGCUUGGUUUGGAUUAUGGGACUUGGAACUCUGGCUGUCAUUGAACUUAAUUUAACUGGACGCCCUUUAGAACCAUGUUGUAAACUUGUGAAUGUGGAAUAUGUCGUGUUGUGCACAGAAACAACAUGUUUUACAUUGUCAAUGUCCACAGCUCUGUUGAUUAUUUACUUUCAAAUAAACUUCCGAAUGGAUCAACAUUUUCUCUGUCAUCUCAAUGUCCGCAAUUCAGUGUAUUCCUCUUAUGAGUUUCUGUCCCACGGCACAGAUGUAGACUCUUAAUUGGAUCACUCUGAUGUCACAGAGAAUUGUAGUGUGUCCAAGGUUUAAAAAUGAAAGCAUCUGGUAUUACCUGUGAUUCUUGGAGUGGGGUGAAUUUUUGUGUUUACAAGCUGCAUGGGAGACUAGUCACAACACUUCCACUGAACUGAGUUGAUUCCUGUCAUAGUGAUUUCAUAGUAAUACCAUAGUGAUCUCAUGGUGAUGGCAUAGUGAUGUCAUAGUGAUGCCAUAGUGAUCUCAUAGUGAUGGCAUAGUGAUGCCAUAGUAAUGCCAUAGUGAUCUCAUAGUGAUGGCAUAGUGAUGUCAUAGUGAUGCCAUAGUGAUCUCAUAGUGAUGGCAUAGUGAUGCCAUAGUAAUGCCAUA